rnacentral:misc_RNA from 1 species
UCUCUGUAGGUGAACGUGCGGAGGGAUCAUUACUGAGUGAGGGCUCACGCCCGACCUCCAACCCUGUGUGAACACAUCUUGUUGCUUCGGGGGCGACCCUGCCGGCACUCUGUCGCCGAGCGACCCCGAAGGUCUCCAAACACUGCAUCUUUGCGUCGGAGUUUAAAACAAAUUAAACAAAGCUUUCGACAACGGAUCUCUUGGUUCUGGCAUCGAUGAAGAACGCAGC